GUUCAAUGUCUCACCAACGCAUCAUAAUGCUGACAAGCAACUGCGGGAAAUUUACGAUCUGACCUGUUUCCAGGUGCGACCUGACCUGUUUCCAGGUGCGAUCUGACCUGUUUCCAGGUGCGACCUGACCUGUUUCCAGGUGCGACCUGACCUGUUUGCAGGUGCGACCUGACCUGUUUCCAGGUGCGACCAGACCUGUUUCCAGGUGCGACCAGACCUGUUUCCAGGU